GGAGAGGUGACCGAGUGGCUGAAGGUGAUCGCCUGCUAAGCGAUUUAGCGCCCAAAAGCGCUACGAGGGUUCGAAUCCCUCCCUCUCCG
rnacentral:tRNA from 1 species